rnacentral:snRNA from 1 species
AUGCUCACUUCGGCAGCAUGUAUACAAAAAUUGGAACGAUACAGAGAAGAUUAGUAUGGCCCCUGUGCAAGGAUGACACCCAAAUUCAUGAAGCGUUCCAUAUUUUU